rnacentral:rRNA from 1 species
AACCCUUGUCACUAGUUGUCCAUCAUUUGGUUGGGCACUCUAGUGAGACUGCCGGUGGCAAACCGGAGGAAGGUGGGGAUGACGUCAAGUCCUCAUGGCCCUUAUGGGUAGGGCUUCACACGUCAUACAAUGGUCGGUACAGAGGGUUGCCAAGCCGCGAGGUGGAGCCAAUCCCUUAAAGCCGAUCGUAGUCCGGAUCGUAGUCUGCAACUCGACUACGUGAAGUCGGAAUCGCUAGUAAUCGCAGAUCAGCAUGCUGCGGUGAAUACGUUCCCGGGUCUU